UACAGAGGUCCCAAGCGUUGUUCGGAUUCAUUGGGCGUAAAGGGUGCGUAGGCGGCGCGGUAAGUCGGGUGUGAAAUCUCGGGGCUUAACUCCGAAACUGCAUUCGAUACUGCCGUGCUUGAGGACUGGAGAGGAGACUGGAAUUUACGGUGUAGCAGUGAAAUGCGUAGAUAUCGUAAGGAAGACCAGUGGCGAAGGCGAGUCUCUGGACAGCAACUGACGCUGAGGCACGAAGGCCAGGGGAGCAAACGGG
rnacentral:rRNA from 1 species